GGGUGGGGCCCAGGGAAGGCGGGGCACCAGCUGACGUACGCUUGCGAGCGGCCAAUCUUUCCUCUCGCGAGAAGCGUUAGUUCAGUUUCUUGACGUCUACUCUGACGUCUAGUGAGGAGGUACAGCCUUGCUGAUGACUUGAAAUGGGUGUCUUCUGCAGUUGGUUUCUCACGUUUCCUUCUAGGUUGACUUUUCCUUGAAACUACUCAUCUUCGUUACUCUCUUUCUUGCGCUCCUGUCCACAUCUUUAUCCUUGUACUUGAUUCAUUUUUGAAAAGGCAGAUAUGAGCAAUUCUAGACCAUGUACUGGACUAACUCCCCUAGAGGUCAACAAACUCGAAUAAUUAAGGACUCUGCCCUCAAGUUGCUCACAAAGUGAUAAGGAAAAUAAUUUUGGUCUAGCCAAAUAUAGUACUCGAGUCAUUUAACCAUUAUGUGCCAAACCAAAAGCUAGGUUCUUACUGUCAUGGAAUUCACUAACAAACAGUUGCGAUUUACGCUGGAAAGGGACUACAAGGGAGCUGCGACAGAUUUUGAAAAGAUUAAUUUCCCUGUAAUGCGAAGAACAGAUUGUAGGAGGCCUAAGGGAAAAGAACCAAGACAAGCCAAUUAUUUGACUAAUUAUUGAAGCUUUGGAAUGGAAGUAAGGAAGAUUCAGUCAUGCAGCCACUGUUUACAUGGUUAUUGUGUUUCUGCCAUGCUCCAGAAAAUUGAAGAGAAGUAGAGAUAUUCAAGAUAUAUUUUUGGGCAUGGAAUUGAAAGAACUUGGUGAUGGAUUGGAAAUAAAGCAUACAGAAAAUGGAAGAAUAAAAUCUCUUGUUUAAACAACCAAGUGGCCUGGCGCAGUGGCUCACACCUGUAAUCCCAACACUUUGGGAGGCUGAGGAGGGCAAAUCACUUGAGGUCAGGAGUUUGAGACCAGCCUCGUCAACAUGGUGAAACCUUAUCUCUACUAAAAACGCAAAAACUUAGCCAAGUGUGGUGGUACGCACCUGUUAUCCCAGCUACUGGGGAGGCUGAGGCAGCAGAAUUGCUUGAACCUGGGAGGCAGAGGUUGCAGUGAGCUGAGAUCAAUCACACUGUUUGGAAAACUCUGCCCCUACCGUGAAAGCUCUCUUUCCCUCCCCCACGAAGAGGCUCCCUUAUCUCUCACUCUACAUACCGCUCCAGCCUUCCCGCCCGGCAGCAGCCACCUCCCGCCAGGCAACGGGUUGACCAAUCACCGCCCGCCUCAUUAGCUCUUCCCAGUUUCCCGCCGCCCGGCUUCCCGCCUCCCAGUUUCCUGCCGCCCGGCUUCCCCGCCCAGCGGUUUAAACUGACCAACCGUUGUCCGCCACCUCAGCUCCCCUGGCCUUCCCACUCCCUCAGCCCUUCAGCCCCCCUAUAAAAGAGCCCUGCUCCUCUGAGCUGCGCGGCCAUUUUCCUCUUCCUCCUGGCUGGUUCGCCCGGAGGCUCUUUCCUCUCAAUAAAGCCUGAACUUAAGGAAUUUCCUCUAACCUGCGGUCCGAACGAGCUCAGUCGUCCCGCAGAGGUGGACUCCUAAAAACCAGACCCUGAGCAGUAGUAUGAGGCACAGGUUAUCCUUCACCUGCAGUUUGGCCCCGUCCCACGGAACUGACUCAGCACAAGAAGACAGCUUCGACUCCCUAUGACUUCAUCUCCAACCCAACCAAUCAGCACUCUUGGCUCACUGUCUUCCCCCACAACUCACCAUGUUGUACUUAAAAACUCUGAUCCCCAUUGCUGGGGGAGACUGAUUUGAAUAAUAAUAAAACCAGGAAUUGCUCUUUCUCUAUUGCGAUUCCCCUGAUAAAUUGGUUGUCUAGGCAGCACGCAAGGUGAACACACUGGGCAGUUACAAGCCACUGCACCUGGGUAAAAAUUAUGUUUUGAAUAGAUAAUACAUUCACAUGCUUCAAAAAUUCCAAAGGUCAGUUUCCCUCGCUGGAGGCAUCUUCUGUGGACGUUGAGAGAUACACGUAUUAAUCCGUACAGCAAGAGUAGUAUAGUGUACACACUAUUCUCUACCUUUCACUAAACAAUGAAUCCUGGAGAUCUUUAUAAGUACAGAGAGACCAUAGCCAAACAGAAGUUUUUGCAUGUUGUCAUUGUCUUAUCUUCCUAAUCUCCCAUUCUUUCCUUAAUCUAUUUGAAGAUGGCUUCUGUAUCUUCUAAUGGAAUCACGAUUUUCAAAGUCACUAAAGACCUUCCAUUGCCAUAUCCAAUAGUUUUGUGCCAGUCUUUAUCCUAUUUUACUUCUUGGCAGUAUUUGAUACAGCAAACCCUAUCUUCCUCUUAAAAUACUUUAUUGCCUUGUGGAGAAGAAUUUUCUGUGAAGAGAAUGAAGCAUAGGACACAAGGCUUUUCACUGGCACCUACUCCUUCCAACAACCUACAAGGAAUUCUAGCCAUGAGUUCUCAGGGUCAUGUAAUUCUGUAUAAUUUGCAAACUUUUUUUUUUAAAUUUUCCAUUCUAAUACUACCUCUGCAUGCAAACUAUUUUUUACUGCAGUCAGUUGAGACCACUGUGUCUUUUCAUUCUAACCUCCUUUUCAUCACAUUUCCUUCCUUCCUUCUUUUUCUUUCUCUUUCUUUCUCCUUCCUUCCUUCCUUCCUUCCUUCCUUCCUUCCUUCCUUCCUUCCUUCCUUCUCUUCUUUCUUCUUUUCUCUCUCUCUUUCUUUCAGAUAGAAUCUCACUCUGUCAUGCAGGCUGGAGUGCAGUGGCGCAAUUUGGGCUAACUGCAGCCUCCAUCUCCCGGGUUCAAGGGAUUCUCCUGCCUCAGCCUCCUGAGCAGCUGGGACUACAGGCAUGCACCACUAUGCCCGACUAAUUUUUUGUAUUUUUAGUAGAAAUGGGAUUUCACCAUAGUAGCCAGGAUAGUCUCAAUCUCCUGAUCUUGUGAUCCGCCUCCCAAAAAGCUGGGAUUAUAGGUGUGAGCUACCGCGUCCAGCCCCAUCACAUAUCUUUUUGCAUUUUGGAGUCCAGCUCAAGAAAGCUGAGUUACAAACAUUUAGUUUGAAUUUGGUGGUACCAGUGUGGUCAUACCAGUAUAGAAGGAGUUUCAAGAAUUGUACUUCUGUUUUUGCACCAUCUCACCCAGGGUUGUGACAUGAAGGUGCAGGGUCAUAUCAUAACAUUAACAUGUCUAUGGCUUCUGCUCUGUGAGUAUAUAAAAUUGAGGGCCUGGCACGGAGGCUCACAACUGUAAUCCUAGCACUUUGGGAGGCUGAGAUGGGCGGAUCACUUGAGCCCAGGAGUUGAGCCCAGCCUGGCCAACAGGGUGAAACGCUGUCUCUACAAAAAAUACAAAAAAAUGAGCUGGUCAUGGUGGCGCACGUCUGUAGUACCAGUUACUCAGGAGGCUGAGGCAUGAGAGAGAAUCACUUAAACCCCAGAGGCAUAGGUUGCAGUGAGCUCAGUCACACCAGUGAACUCCAGCCUGGGUGACAGAGCAAGGCUCUGUCUCAAAUAAAAAAAAAAAAAUGGGGAAAAACAGUGUUUGAAACAUGUAGAACCAGAAGCUAAUCUGUUAAAAAUUCUUCCAAUUUGAAGCAUAUAAACUUGUAAGCAGAGGAAUUAGAUUCUCAUUGACAGAAUAUCAAAUUAGAAAUCCUCUUCUGUCAGGAAUAUACUUGAUUAUGCAGCAUAUAUAUCUAAAAAUGCACUGGUUUUAAAAAAAUGAGCAUCAGGCAAAAUAAAAUUUGUCAGAAUUCCUGCUUCUCAGGCAGAAACCUGAACAGUUCUACAAUGAGUAUACACAUGUAUGAAGUCAUGGGUUUUAUUUAUUUAUUUGAGAUGGAGUUUCGCUCUGUCAUCCAGGCUGGAGUGCAGAGGUACAAUUUCAGCUUACUGAAAUGUCCGCCUUCUGGGUUCAAGUGAUUCUUCUGCCUUAGCCUCCUGAGUAGCUAGGAUUACAAGUGAGCACCACCAUGCCUGGCUAAUUGGUUGUAUUUUUUGUAGAGAUGGGGUUUUGUUAUGUUGGCCAGGCUGGUCUCAAAUUCCUGAGCUCAAGUGAUCCACCUGCCUUGGCCUCCCAUAGUGCUGGGAUUACAUGAGCUGCCACACCUGGCCUGAAGUCAUGGGUUUUAUACAUUCCAACAUAUGGGAUUGCAUUUUUUAAAAUUUCUUUUUUAUUUAUUAUUACUUUCUUCCUUUUUUUUUUUUUUUUUGUUAGUAUUGUGCCUUCACCCAAUAUUACUUUUUUCCUUAACAAAGAUGGGUUUUCACUAUGUUGCCUAGGCUGGUCUUGAUGGACUCAAGCAAUCCUCUGGCCUUGGUCUCCCAGUGUUGGGAUUGCAGGUGUGAGCUGCCAUGCCGGGCUGGAUUGCAUUUUAAUGUAUUUGUCACCUUGUUCUUCAAAAUCUCCUGGUUCUAGAUGAAAUGGCACAAAAACUGGCAUCAGAGAGUGAAAUGGUCUGAAGAAGAAUCCAGACACAGAGCUCCUGCAGUUUUGCAUGCAAUAUAUAAGGAAUUUGACUGUACAAUUAUAUUGCUCUAUGCAAUGUAGUAGCAAUUUGAAACACAUUUGAAUUUCUCUUGUAUACGUCUUAGUUUAAGUUUUUUUUGUUCUGAUGAUCAUUUCGCUAUUCAACUAUGACAAGAAGGCAUCCUUGUAGAAAUCAAGAAAGAAGACAGAAGCUUUAAAAUACUUUUUAAAAAAUCUUAGUAUAUUGGCUGGGCGCGGUGGCUCACACCUAUAAUCCCAGCACUUUGGGAGGCCAAGGCGGGUGGAUCACGAGGUCAAGAAAUCGAGACCAUCCUGGCCAACAAGGUGAAACCCCGUCUCUACUAAAAAUACAAAAAUUAGCUGGACAUGGUUGUGCGCACCUAUAGUCCCAGCUACUCGGGAGGCUGAGGCAGGAGAAUUGUUUGAACCCAGAAGAUGGAGGUUGCGGUGAGCCGAGAUUGUGCCAUUCCACUCCAGUCUAUGUAACAACAGCAAAACUCCGUCUCAAAAAAAAAAAAAAAAAAAAUCUUAGUAUAUUAAACAGAAACUAAAAGCUCUGUUAGUUGCAAUCAAGAUUAGAAAAAAAAAUUUUUUGGCAGUGUCUCACUCCAUCCAUCACCCAGGCUCGGGUGCAGUGGUGAAAUCAUAGCUCACUGCAGCCUGAAACUCCUGGGCUCAAGUGAUCCUCCUGCCUGGCCUCUCGAGAAGCUAGGACUAUGAAGGGGUGCCACCAUGCCUUACUGGGAUUAGAACAAUAUUUUUGCCGGGUGUGGUGGCUCAUGCCUGUAAUCCAAGCACUUUGGAGGCCAAGGCGGGCGGAUCACCUGAGGUAAGGAGUUCAAGACCAGCCUGAUGAACAUAGUGAAACCCCGUCUUAAAAAAAAAAAAAAGAAAGAAAGAAAAAUAUUUUUGAUAGCCAACACAGAAAAUAAGAAUGACUAUGAUAGGGCUGGGCGCGGUGGCUCACGCCUAUAAUCCCAGAACUUUGGGAGGCCGAGGUGGGCGGAUCACGAGGUCAAGAGAUCAAGACCAUCCUGGUCAAAAAGGUGAAACCCCGUCUCUACUAAAAAUACAAAAAUUAGCUGGGCAUAGUGGUGCGCGUCUGUAGUCCCAGCUACUUGGGAGGCUGAGUCAGGAGAAUUGCUUGAACCCAGAAGGCGGAGGUUGCGGUGAGCCGAGAUCAUGCCAUUGCACUCCAGUCUGGGUAACAACAGUGAAACUCCGUCUCAAAAAAAAUAAAAAAAAUUACUAUAAUAAUCAAGAUACCUAAACAGGAAAUAGAAAAUAGAAUAAAGAAGAUGAAAAUAAUAAGAAGAAAAAACAAAUUUUGCAUAGUAAACAGAACAUAUAAGAAGGUCAGCAAGUGCUUCAGCUUGGUGAAUUUAUUGAUUUUUUUUAAUGUGUUCUCAUCUGAGAAUUCAUUGAUUUUGAUAAUUGCCAUGAUUUUUCAUUGUAGUCCGUUAUGAUAAGCAAUCAUUUCAUUUAGCACUGAAUAACAGAAAAGUUUACUUUUUGAUAUAUUUGGUCUAUUAAUAUUUACAGAGGCGCAAACAAAACAGCUCAUGAAAAAACAUAUUUCUCAAAGAGAUAUAUUUAAAAUACUUAAAAAUGCUCAAACUGGUGCUCGCUUUGGCAGCACAUGCACUAAAAUUGGAACAAUACAGAGAAGGUUAGCUAUGGCCCCUGCGCAAGAAUGACACGCAAAUUCGUGAAGUAUUCCAUUAAAAAAAUAAUACAUUUAAAAGAAAAAGAAAAAAAAAUGGUCAAACUGGUAUGAGAAUCUGCUUAACCUAUUGUAAGACUGAAGGUUGAAUUUAUCAUUUUGUUUGUAAACUGUUUUCAACAGGGCAGACAUUGCAACAAAGGGGUUUUGGGGCUGGAUAAAUAUAUUAAGUUUCAAAAGUCAAAUACAUUCCACAGAGCAAUUAGGAGGCUAUGUUUACUUGGAAUACAUGUAAAUCAAAUAAAAAUGCACUAGACUAAUAUCUUGAAAAAAAUAAAACAAGAAAAAAAUUCUGAAGUAUGUUGAAAUGCUAAAAAGUGUAGCUGUAGUUAUUAAAUUUUUAAAUAAAAGUUGCUUCAGAGGUCAUAGUAAAAAAAUAGUGUUCUUAAAAAAAAAAUAGUGUUCUUCAGACAAGGGUAAUUUCAUAUGGAUCAUUGAACUAAUUUCUGGAUUCUAUUCUAUUUUUGCAUUGGGACUUGGAAAAAAGUCAAUAUGAAAGAACAAAUGUAACAUCUAAAACUUAUGAAGGGUUAAUCAAUGUGUACAAAAUGAAAGAGUUACUAUUACUUUCAUCGAGACAGGGUCUGACUCUGUCACCCAGGCUGGAGUGCAGUAGUACGAUCUCAGCUCACUGCAACCUCUGCCUCUUGGGUUCAAGCAAUUCUUGAGCAGCUGGAAUUACAGGCACCCUCCACCAUGCCCAACUAAUUUUUGUAAUUUUUUUUUUUUUUUUGAGAUGAAGUCUUGCUCUGUCACCCAGGCUGGAGUGCAAUGGCAUGAUCUUGGCUCACUGCAACCUCCACCUCCCAGGCUCAAAAAAUUCUCCUUCCUCCGCCUCCCAAAGUGCUGGGAUUACAGGUGUGAGCAACCGCACCCUGCCAAAGUUUGUAUUUUUGGUAGAGACAAGAUUUUACCAUGUUGGCCAGGUUGCUCUUGAACUCCUGACCUCAAGUGAUACGCCUGCCUUUGCCUUCCAAAGUGCUGGGAUUACAGGCAUGAGCCACCGCAUCCUGCCUAUUCUACAUUAUUAAUAGAAAUACUCAUGAGCCAUUGUUGACUUUGGUUAAUUGAAAUCUAUUUAUUUAUGACUUUAUUCAACAAUUGCAAGCUUCCAAUGAACAGUAUUCAUGAUCAGUCGUACUAUUAUGCAAUUGUUAGGAAAGGCGAGGAUAAGGGGCUGGAGUCAGCAUGGUGGCUCAUGCCUGUAAUUCCAGCACUUUGGGAGGCUGAGGUGGGUGGAUCAUUUGAGGUUAGGAGUUGGAGACCAGCCUGGCCAACAUGGUGAAACCUCAUCUCUAAUAAAAAUACAAAAAUUAGCUGGGGAUAGUGGCACACAUCUGUAAUCCCAGGUACUUGGGAGGUUUAGGCAGGAAUAGGAGGUCACAGUAAGCUAAGAUUGCACCAUUUCACUCCAGCCUGGGCUACCGACAGAGCAAGACUCCAUUUCAGAACAACAACAACAUUAAUUAUGUAGAAUUAAAAGCAUUUUGGUGGAGAAAAAGCUGCCCUGAGAAUAACUAAAGUUGUUGAUGACUUCCGUAUUUUGCAAUAGUUAUAUUUUUCCUUCUCGAGUUCUUCAUAUAUGGAACAUUUUAUUUCAUUUUAUGUUACAAUACCAUCCUGACACUCAACAUAUGUGGACUAUCUUAAAGAAACAUGCCAAUUUGGAUUUUUCUUUAAGAAGUCUAAGUGUAAGGAGAUUGUCUGCCAUAGAUGUUGUUCUAAGCUUUGCAAGGUGAAUACAACGUUUUAAGGAUUCCAAAUCAUUUUUCAAAGAUUCAGAAGAGAAAGGCUAACACACACCGCUGCAAAGUUUAUUUAAAAUGUUAAUGGACUGGGUGCAGUGGCUUACAUCUGUAAUCCCAGCUCUUUGGAAGGCAGGCAGAUCACUUGAGGCCAAGGGUUUGAGACCAGACUGAGCAACAUGGUGAAACCCUGACUCUACCGAAAAUACAAAAAUUAGCCAUGCAUGUUCACACAUCCCUGUAGACCCAGCUGCUCGGUAGGCUGAGAUGGGAUUUGAGCCCAGGAGGCGAAGGUUGCAGUGAACAGAGAUCUUGCCAUUGCAUUCCAACCUGAGCACCAGGGAGAGACUCUGUCUCAAUCAAUCAAUAAAAUAAAAUAAAAUGUUUAUGAAACUAGAAUGUGCACUUUUAAUUGCCAUUUGGAAAAUGUUUUGCAAUAUUUUAAUAAAAUAAGUGAGAAAUUACAGACUUCUGAUUUGGACUUAUAUAAAGGAUAUUUUCUUUUAUCAUUUAAAAUUAACUUACAAGUUAAAAUAUUAAUAAUACAGAAUAAAUUCAGAAUAAAAGAUAAUUAAACUGGAAACAAAACUGUUAGAGAAAUUCUUCUGAUAUUGAGACCAAAUUACAAUAAAAAAUUUGCAGAUCAAACCCAAACCAGCACAUUAAGAGGAAGAUAUUUUGAACAGAUGUAAUGAAUAAACUCAUGGAUUUUUAAAAAAUCUCAUUAAUAGAGCAAAUAAACACAUUGAAAAGAGAUUUAAAUUUUUUGCUAAUUUACAUGGAAAACUGACUUUGAUGAAACUAACAUAGCAUCUAAUAUGACACUACACAAGAAGAUCAAUGACAACUGGUUAGUGAGUGUUGUCAAUUCAAAAAGCAUUUAAGACAGUUACUGCAAAAGAUAACUUAAAAUGCUCAAAUAACUUACAGAUUAUAACUUUCAGAUAAUGCCCAAAUAACUUACAGUUUAUAACUUAAAAUGCCCAGAUAACUUACUGUUUAUAAAAUAAACUUGAUAGAGGUUUUCCAAAUUUGACAUCAUUCCUAAAAAUAUACAUGACACUACAAAGGAUGACUUGCGAAGCUGAAAGGAACUUUUAAAUUAUUCAUAAUUCUUUUCUUUUUUCUUUUUUAAAAAUUUUUAAAAUUUAUUAUUUAUUAUUUUUAUUUUUCAUAAUUCUUUUCUUUUUCUUUUUUUUUUAGAGGGAGUCUCAUGUGGCCUGAUCUUGGCUCACUGCAGCCUCUGCCUCCCGGGUUCAAGCAGUUCUCUGCCUCAGCCUCCCGAGUAGCUGGGAUUACACAUGACCGCCACCAUGCCCAGCUAAUUUUUGUAUUUUUAGUAAAAACAGGGUUUCAUCAUGUUGGUCAGGCUGGUCUCGAACUCCCAACCUCAUUGCUUUCCCGUUGGUGGUCCCAGUGAUGGCCAUUACCCUGGUUUUUCAACUGACUCCCUCCCUCCUCCCCUAUUCAAUUUCUACCAAGUGUUGUGCCCCUGAGUGCUUUGCUAGGGACCUUCCUCUGCCCCAGACACACUUUCUCCCUAGUCACUCUCAAUCUAUGGCUUUAAUUAAUUCAUUAUUAUUUUUUAAAAGAGAUGGGGGUUUUGCUAUGUUGCCCAGGCUGAUCUUGAACUCCUGAGCUCAAGUGAUUCUCCUGCCUCGGGCUCCCGCAGUGCUGGGAUAACAGGCGUGAGUCACUGCACCCAGCCAAAUGCUUGUUCCUCAGCCUGUGGCUUGAAAUACCAGCUGUAGUUGACUCUUGAACAGCAGGAGGUCAGGAGUAGGGGAUAGAGACUUGGGGUGCCAAAUUCACUCAGUUGAAGACUUGCAAAGAACUUUUUUUUCUUUACUGAUGGGGUCUUGCUCUAUCUCUCAGAAUGGAGUACAGUGGUGGAAUCAUAGCUUACUGUAGCCUCUAACUCAUGGGCCCAAGGAAUCCUCCCACCUCAGCUUUCACAGUAGCUAGGAUUAUAGGCCCAACCCACUCUCAACCACAUAUAACUUUUGACUCUUCCAAAACUUAACUACUAAUAGCCUACUGUUAAUCAGAAGCCUUACCAAUAAAAUAACUUGAUAAGUACAUAUUUUGUAUGUUAUGUGUGUUAUAUAACUGUUCUUUUUUUUUUUUUUUGAGAUGGAGUUUUGCUCUUGUUGCCCAGGCUGGAACACAAUGGUGCGAUCUCAGUUCACCCCAACCUCCACCUCCUGGUUCAAGUGAUUCUCUUACUUCAGCCUCCCUAGUAGCUGGGAUUACAGGCAUGCACCACCAUGCCCAGCUAAUUUUGUAUUUUUAGUAGGGACAGGGUUUUUCCAUGUCGGUCAGCCUGGUCUUGAACUCCUGAUGUCAGAUGAUCCACCUGCCUGGGUCUCCCAAAGUGCUGGGAUUAUAGGUGUGAGCCACCUGGCCUGGCCAACUGUAUAUUUACAAUAAAGUUAGCUAAAGAAAACAAAAUGUUAUUAAGAAAAUCAUAAGACAGAGAAAAUAUAUUUACUAUAUAUUUUAUUUUUAAUAUUUUUUAAAGAUGGGGUUUCACCAUAUUGGUCAGGCUGGUCUCGAACUCCUGACCUCUGAUCCACCUGCCUCAGCCUCCCAAAGUGCUGGGAUUACAGGUGUGAGCCACAGCGCCCGGCUCUAUUUACUAUUUAUUAAGCGGAUCAUCAUAAAAUCUUCCUCCUCAUCAUCUAGAAAGAGGAAGGGUUGGUCUUGCUGUCUCAAGGUGGCAGAAUUGGAAUAAAAUCCAUUAUAAGUGGACCCAUGCAGUUCAAACCUGUGUUGUUCAAGGGUCAACUGUACGUACAGACUGGCUUUAAAUAUCAGGCUUUUCAGCCAGCCUUUUCUUUACGUUUGAACUCCAAACAGCCUAUUUACCUAUUUGAGUACUGGAUCUCUAAUAGACAUCUCAAAUGGAAUGUGUCCAAAAUAGAACUCUUGGCACCCACUAAAGCAAAUAAAUGAACAACUAUUCCUUCCUUAGAUUUACCAGUAUAGUAAAUGGUGCCAAAACCACUCAGUUGCUCAUGUCAGAACCACCAGUGGUCACCCCUGACUAAUUGCUCUCCUACUCCCUCUAAUUCCAAUUCAUUACUAAGUCCCAUUGGCUCUUCUCCCAAACCGAUUCAUUUAGCAAUCCAUCUCUCUCCAUUCUUGCUGCUAAUAAACCUAGGCCAAGCCACCAUAAUUUUUCCUGAACACCUGCAAACAGCCUCCCAGCUGGUCUCCCUGCCUCUCCUCUCACAGUGCAGUCCAUUCUCCACAGUCAUAGUGACAAACCAAAGUUAAAUAAUGACCUUACCUUACUUAACAACCUCCCUCAACAACCCUGCUUUCUCAUCGCACUAAUAAUAAAGUCCAGAUCUUUACUUUGACCUGUAAGGCCCUAUUCCGUUUGACCUUGGCUCACCUUCCUCCAUCAUACUCCUUAUUAAACUCAUUCUAGUCCCAGCACUAUUUCUGCUCCUAGAACCCUCCAGAUUUGUGGUGUCACUAUAGUGACUCUGAACCAGGUGCUUCUUUUGCCUGGAAUGCUCUUUUCCCAUGGCUAAUUCCUUUUGGUCAUUCAGUUCUUGGCUCGAAGGGUAGCUCCUUAGUGAGCCCUUCCUGAAUCACUUAUUUGACUGGUUCUCUAUGGGGGUGGCACCACUCCCUAGCAGGCAUUUAGGAAAUGUUUGGGGACAUUUUUGUUAGUCACAAUAAUUGGGGUUGCUACUGGCAUUUAGUGACAGAGUGAAAGGGGAGGUAAGGGAUGCUGGAUGUCACACAAUAUACAAUAGAAUCCUCCCAAUGAAGGACUGCUCUACAUACGUUUUUUGUUUGUUUGUUUGUUUUUUGGUAACAGUGCAGCUACCCUACUCGCUCUCUUUUUUUUUUUUUUGAGACUGAGUUUUGCUCUUGUUACCUAGGCUGGAGUGCAAUGGCCUGAUCUCGGCUCACCACAACCUCCGCCUCCUGGGUUCAGGCAAUUCUCCUGCCUCAGCCUCCUGAGUAGCUGGGACUACAGGCAUGCACCACCAUGCCCAGCUAAUUUUUUUUGUAUUUUUAGUAGAGAUGGGGUUUCACCAUGUUGACCAGGAUUGUCUCGAUCUCUUGACCUCGUGAUCCACCUGCCUCGGCCUCCCAAAGUGCUGGGAUUACAGGCGUGAGCCACCGCACCCAGCCUCUCUCUCUCUCUUUUUAAAAGAGGCAGGGCCUCACCAUGCUGCACAGACUGGAGUGCAGUGGAUAUUCACAGGCAUGAUUAUAGUACACUGUAGGCUCAAACUUCUGAGCUUAAGUGAUCCUCGCCCCUCAGCCUCAUGACUAGCUAUAAUUACAGGUGCAUGCCACCAUACCCACAAUACUACAUGACUUUGUUUCACUGGACAGCUGUGUAGGGAAAAACCUGUAUCAAGAACUCACUGUAUAGAGCCAUAGAAAUCUAAUGGCUAGGUAUUUUUUGCUUAGUUGUAACAGCUAAUGAAAUUUUUGGAGAUGCAAUUAUCAUGUAAAUUGAUGAAGAUAAUCUUUUGUGCUUUUUUUGUUUGUUUUGUUUUGUUUUUGUUUUUUAAAGAGAUGGGGUUUCACCAUGUUGGUCAGGCUGGUUUCGAACUCCUGAUCUCAAGUGAUCUGUACCCCUCGGCCUCCCAAAGUGCUGGGAUUACAGGUGCGAGCCACCGCACCCGGCCUAUCCUUUGUUUUGUUUGAAGUUU